ensembl:miRNA
UGGUGCAAAAGUAAUUGCGGUUUUUGCCAUUGAAAGUAAUGGGAAAAACCGUGAUUACUUUGGCAC